rnacentral:rRNA from 1 species
UACGGGGGGGGCGAGCGUUGUUCGGAAUUACUGGGCGUAAAGGGUUUGUAGGUGGCCUGCUAAGUCAGACGUGAAAUCCCUCAGCUUAACUGGGGAACUGCGUCUGAGACUGGCGAGCUUGAGGACAGGAGAGGAACGCGGAAUUCCAGGUGUAGCGGUGAAAUGCGUAGAUAUCUGGAGGAACACCGGUGGCGAAGGCGGCGUUCUGGACUGUUUCUGACACUGAAAAACGAAAGCCAGGGGAGCAAACGGG